AUGGUUUCCGGCAUUUGGCUGGGCCUUUGUCUCUCGCUCCCACCAGAGCUUGGAAUCCGUCUCUGCUCUUCUGCAUUCUCCACCUCGGGAGCCCCUGGGGACUCUGUGACGGCCUCUGUUGCCCUGUGAUCUGCAGGUCCGGAGAGACGCACAGCUAAGAUGUCAGGACAUCCUGGAAGCUGGGAAAGGUAGAGACGCGGUUUCACCGUGGUCUUGAUCUCCUGAUCUUGUGAUCCACCCGCCUCGGCCUCCCAAAGUGCUGGGAUUACAAGUGUGAGCCACCGCGCCUGGCUGCAACUAUAAUGUUUUGCUAAGUUCUGUCUUGCCAUCUCUAAGCUGGACCUGGUGACCUUUUUGGAGGGAAAGAAAGAGCCCUGGACUGUGAAGAGUGAGGAGACCAUAGCUGCACAGCCAGUCCAGAUGUAUAAUCUCAUCCCUGAACAUUUCUGAUGGUGUGAUUAUGACAUGUGACUUUAUCUGGCAACAGAGUGAGUUGUUGCUCCCGCCUGAGCCCAGCCCCCAGAAAGGAUUGUGACAUAUCGUUGGACCCAGAAUUGAGGUGGAAUUGUGACAUAUAACUUGGCCAAGCACACAGAUGUAAUGGUGUGGUGACUCUCAUACCUAGAACUGGGACCUGUGCAGGAUUGUUAAUUCAUUACUGGACAUUCCUGUGGGUGUGAUUGUUACAUAUGCCUAUGUUCAGCACCCGAGUGAUUUGAUUUUGCUGCCUGGUCUCAGUCCAAAUUUUUUCUCCUGCAGGAAAGAUUGUGAAAUAUUACUGAACUAAGCACCAAAGGGAUAUAUUUUUUUUCUUGGACCUGCCCAUGUAAGACCUUGUGACAUAUUGCUGGGCCCUACACCUAGAUGAUGUGAGUUUUCUGCCCGUCAACUAUUUUAUGUGACUCUCCUCUCUUAUCUUCACUUUGUCCAUAGGUUAGCUUUUAAUAUACCUUUGGGCCUGGGUCAUGCUAAUAGAAGCAAGAGUGACUUAUUGUUGGGCCCAGCACACAGGGGAUGUGAUUCUUCUGCUUGGUUCCUGCCGAAAUGGUCAUUGUGACAUAUCUAUGGGUCAGUUGGCUAAAUGACAGGACUCUUUUUAUCUUUCUGGAGCAGUCCACAGUAGGAAAUUUGACAUAUCGCUGGGCCCAGCACAUAUCUGAUGUGACUCUCCUCUCAUGCCAAGGCCUUGCCUACUGUAGUGAUUGUGCCAUAUAGCUGGGCCCAGCUCCUACGUUAUCUGACUCCUGUUUUCUUCCUGAGCCCUAUGAAAAGAUUGCAUUAUUAAAUAUUUCUGGGUCUUUUA
rnacentral:lncRNA from 1 species